AGCGUUGAUGAAGUUCGGUGCGGAGCAUAAACGGUUCAUGAUGCAAUUGGUUUUGAGUUCCUGGGAAGCAAUCAAUUUCAGCCGUGUAUUUGUCUCUAGUUUUCAGCGAGUUUCGGGCGUUCGGAGUCCAGGUGUAUUUCUAGACGUUGAUGAUGCUAGAUAUGCACUAUAAACGGUAUGGAUGUUAGGAUCUGAGGUCCUGGUGCGUAUGCUUUGCCACUCUCGCUUAACAGAUUGCGAGAACAGAUCUGUUGUCACAUGCAAAUGCAAUUAUGGAUAUGCUGGCGAGGUAGGGACAAUCGAGACACGAUUAGGGGGAAUUAAAUAAUUAAUUAAAUUAUACUUCUAUUGAAAUUUUACAUAUAUAAAUUUUAAUUAAUUUAAUGAAUUGAUUUUAAAUGACGUGGACUCUUCAAACCCAUAGUGCACUUUCAUUUUUGUUACAUGUGAUAGUGUUUCAUAAUUAGGGUAAUGAAGGGUCAUCAUGAAAUGAGACCUUGAGCAAAGUAAUCUUGGGGUGUGUUUGGAUUUUGAGUUGGGAUUUGAAUAGUAAAAAUUUUGAAUUUGAAUAGUUGUAUGAUGUGAUAUAAAUAGGUGUUGAUGUGAUGUUUUGAAUGUAAAAUUGAUUUUUAGUAUAAUAUAAAAAAUGAAAAAUAGGUGUUUGAUUUAUUGUUUUGGGAGGAAAAAAUAGGAUGAAUAGUUGAAAUCUAAACAAAUACCUCAAACAAACACACCCCAAGGGUUAAUUUGAACCUGAGUUAAAUUAUAACGCAGUGGUAUCAUUUUAAAUUUGAAGAAAAUUAAUUUGAAAGCCCAGUGUGUUUUGUUGGCCCAAAUAUUGUUCUAAAUUUUUUUUCAAGGUCCAUAACAUUUAGGACAUGAUAGGAUGUAUCUCAACGAUAUCUUGUGCCUUUAUUACAUGGAUAUAUAUAUAUAUAUAUAGGCGAAAUAAAAAAAGGUCAUAUAAUUAUGAUAAGGCUGUUUUAUUUCUUUGGGCAGUUGCUUAGGUAACUGGAAUAAUAAAUUGUCCACAUUAAAAUUGCUCAAUAAAUGCAUCCAACCUCCAAAAAACAGACAGAAAUGUAUCAAUGGAGGGCUUGAAUUUUGAACUUCUUUUUAGAUGAAGAAGUUGUUUUUUUCCUGGGAAGGCAUUUUCCUUUCAUUUUGGACUUUUCCUUAUUCAGCUCUUUUCUUACAGCAGCAGCUGCUGCUGCUUCUCUUGUCGUGUCACUUCUGAAAUUAAAAUUCAAAAUUUAAUUAAUAAAUAAACCGAAUUAUAUUUCAAAUGAAUGUUUAAAAUAAUUAAUGACGAGUUUAGAGAAUGGCGGACCUGUCUUGAUUGAAGGAAGAGGAUCUCUUCAAUCGUGGCCGUUGAUCUCUACCAAGCCUUACGUCAUCGCCCAUGGCUUCCACGAUGCUUCCACUGAAGUACUCUUUUUCCUCCGCAGGGAAAUUCCCGAUCAACCGUGGAUUCUCCGACAUGUAUCUGAUCAUGAUCUCGUCCUCUUCUUCCUUCUCCGUUGUCGUCGUCGUCGCCGCCGCCGCCGCCGCCUUGAGGACGGCUGCCUUGUGCAGGCUAGCUCCGCUGCAGCUCUUCCUCGCCGGAAUCUCGUCGUGACUAGGGAAGCUCUUCCUGAACGAGCUCGAUCCGCCGCAGGCGAUGAGGCUGAGGAGCAUCGAAUUCCGGCUAAGCAUUGGCUCGAUUCCGAUGGGAUCGCCGUCCUCGAAUCUCGUCGGAUUGAGCGCGUCCAAGGUGUUCGACGAAUUUUCUGAACGAGCCGAGGGCGGCGAGGAAUCGGCGUCGAUGACAUGCUCGGAUUGUGGAGGUGUCUGAGUGUUUAAUUCUUCAAUUUCAUCAGUGGAGACGCCUCUGGAGCAGCUCUUGCUGUGCAGGUUAGAAGAAUCUCAGAUCCUUUGAGCACAUAUUCACCUCCUUCAGAUGGGAAAAUGAGAAAUGAAACACAACACAAGUGGGGUAUUAUCUAUUAUUAAUGGAUGAGAUGAAAUGAAAUGAAUGACCUCUUGCAAGACCAGGAGUAGAGAGAAGGUAUGGCUUUGCCUCUGAGUUGAGUGAGUCUUUCCAUUACAUCU